rnacentral:rRNA from 1 species
GAUAGAAGCCAGAGCGGGAGCACUGGUGGACUUCACAGAAGAGAGAAUGCCGGUAUGAGUAGCGAGACCCAUGCGAGAAACAUGGGCGUCGAAGGCCCAAGGUUUCCUGGGGAAGGUUCAUCCACCCAGGGUAAGUCGGGACCUAAGCCGAGGACUGAGGUCGUAGGCGAUGGACAGCAGGUAGAGAUUCCUGCACCACUUACACUUGCUUGACGAAGCAGUGACACAGAAGGAUAGGACGAGCGCGGUGAUGGUCAACCGCGUAGGCGGCACGAGGCUGGGAAGCAGUUAAGUACACUUCCCGGGAAGGCUGAGUGCUGACAGGACCGAAAAAGAGUAGGGAAGCGUCUGAGUUCACGCUGGCGAGAAAAGCUGCUAAGGAGAGUGUGAGUGCCCGUACCGGAAACCGACACAGGUGGGCGAGGAGAGAAUCCUGAGACGGACGGGAGAACUCUUGUUAAGGAACUCGGCAAAAUGACCCCGUAACUUCGGGAGAAGGGGUGCCUCGAAAGAGGCCGCAGAGAAUAGUCACAAGCGACUGUUUAGCAAAAACACAGGUAUCUGCGAAAGCGAGAGCUGACGUAUAGGUGCUGACGCCUGCCCGGUGCUGGAAGGUUAAGGGGAAGUGUUAGGGGAAACCCGAAGCAGAGAACCGAAGCCCCAGUAAACGGCGGCCGUAACUAUAACGGUCCUAAGGUAGCGAAAUUCCUUGUCGGGUAAGUUCCGACCCGCACGAAUGGCGUAACGACUUGUGAGCUGUCUCAACAGGAGGCCUGGUGAAAUUGAAGUAUGUGUGAAGAUGCACAUUACCCGCGACUGGACGGAAAGACCCCGUAGAGCUUUACUGUAACCUGACAUUGGAUCUUGAUAACGGAUGCACAGGAUAGGUGGGACGCUGGGAGGUAUGGACUUUGGUCUGUACGGAGCGGACGUUGGGAUACCACUCUUCUGUUAUUGAGAUUCUAACCUCAAGCCGUAAGCCGGAUGAGAGACAGUGUCAGGCGGACAGUUUGACUGGGGCGGUCGCCUCCGAAAGAGUAACGGAGGCGCCCAAAGGUACCCUCAGAAUGGAUGGAAACCAUUCGAAGAGAGCAAAGUCAGAAGGGUGCUUGACUGCGAGACCAACAAGUCGAGCAGGUACGAAAGGAGGGCUUAGUGAUCCGGCGGGAAGGGAGUGGAAUUGCCGUCGUGUAACGGA